UAACCUGCCCAAGAGAUCGGGAUAACACCUGGAAACAGAUGCUAAUACCGGAUAACAACAGAUGAUGCCUAUCAACUGUUUAAAAGAUGGUUCUGCUAUCACUCUUUUAUGGACCUGCGGUGCAUUAGCUAGUUGGUAGGGUAACGGCCUACCAAGGCGAUGAUGCAUAGCCGAGUUGAGAGACUGAUCGGCCACAUUGGGACUGAGACACGGCCCAAACUCCUACGGGAGGCAGCAGCC
rnacentral:rRNA from 1 species